GUUAGGAAUAUUGGACAAUGGGCGCAAGCCUGAUCCAGCCAUGCCGCGUGAGUGAUGAAGGCCUUAGGGUUGUAAAGCUCUUUCACCGAUGAAGAUAAUGACGGUAGUCGGAGAAGAAGCCCCGGCUAACUUCGUGCCAGCAGCCGCGGUAAUACGAAGGGGGCUAGCGUUGUUCGGAUUUACUGGGCGUAAAGCGCACGUAGGCGGUUUGUUAAGUCAGGGGUGAAAUCCCGGAGCUCAACUCCGGAACUGCCUUUGAUACUGGCAAGCUGGAGUCCGGAAGAGGUAAGUAGAACUCCUAGUGUAGAGGUGGAAUUCGUAAAUAUUAGGAAGAACACCAGUGGCGAAGGCGGCUUACUGGUCCGGAACUGACGCUGAGGUGCGAAAGCGUGGGGAGCAAACAGGAUUAGAUACCCGAGUAGUCC
rnacentral:rRNA from 1 species